UGCCUUACCACCUUCCCAUCACAUGCUUUCUGCUCAGGUUUUAUAAGCAGCGUGAUGUGUAGAGCAGUAUAAAGCAUUGCGGAUAUGCUCACAAACACUGGUGAUAUUUGCAAAUGUGGACAGGAUCAGGAAAGAAAAACACAUCCUGUGAGCUCAGGAACAAUGUCAAGGGUGUUAUCUGCAUUUGUGUAUCUUGGCAACAGACUUUAUACACUCUCAGACAUACCAUAAGAACUACUAAUGUGCUUCAUCUGGGGUCGCCACCCCAGGUCCUAUGAGGAGCAUAAUGGAAGUAGAAUAUAUCCACUGUGUUGCUUUUCUAAACAUAGAAAACAUCUGAAUUCACAAAGAUAUUUGGAUUUAAGGGUUUCAGUUCUUGAAGGUGUUCAAAAUAUAUGCUGUUGUCUGGUGAAGACAAAUGGAAACCUGCGCAUGCUACUCGGUCCAGUCUCCCAUCUUUCAGCCAACGAGGAGGCCCAGUGCAGCUCCAGCUCCUGCACCUGGGUUUGGGGAGCGGGGACAGGUCAUCCCCACUCUCAGGUCCUCAAGCCCGUCUGGGGUCAUCCUGCACCCCUGCCCAGGAUGCAGCGAGAGAGGGCAGGGUGCAGCUCUUCGUGGAGACGUUGUCACAGUCUGAUUUCCAGGCGGCCCGUCCUGGUCUCCUUGUCCUCUCUCUCCUCAGAGGGUCUCUGUCUAAUCUCAGAAAGGGAGGACAGCAGCCAGAAUAAGAUAAAAUAUUCUGCAAUAUCUAUUAUUAGACCAGGACCCUGGGCCCAUGAUGGCAAAAUGUUGGUAAUUCAAAAGCCAUUUUGUUCUCAAAUGUAUUAACAUGGGCAUCAAAAUUCUAUCUUAAAACUCAGUGCUGAGCAUAACUCAUGUAAUACUCUGUAUAUAUUACAGUAAAGACAUUUUCCUGAGGGCAGAUGUGGAGGUGGAGGGUUUUUGCUUCUCAGGACUCGGGUUGACAUUGGGUUCAUAUGCCAGUUCAUACAAGAACAUGUUUAUCAUCACAUAUUUGUUAGAAUUUCAUACUUUUGUCUCAAUUUUUAUAAUAAGAUACUUUUGAUAAAUGAUUCCCUUUUUAAGGCCAAUACACAAGGGUAAUAGAAACAGAGUUUGAAUUUUUAAAGUAUGUCAAUAUUGUAAAAUUCUGAGGUUACAGGGGUGGAAAAUGUGAAGUUAUUUCAUUUUCAAUAUCCCUGGAAAUAGACUACUUCACAGAUCUUUUUUUUACCAUACGAAAAUAUGAUUUGCUGGGGCUCCUGGGUGGCUCAGCCGUUAAGUGCUUGCCUUCGGCUCAGGUCAUGAUCCUAGGGCCCUGGGAUCAAAACCCCGCAUCAGGCUCCCUGCUCAGCCGGGAGCCUGCUUCUCCCUCUCCCGCUCCCCCUGCUUGUGUUCCCUCUCUCAUUGUGUCUCUCUCUCUGUCAAAUAAAUAAAAUCUUUAAAAAAA